rnacentral:lncRNA from 1 species
GAGGAUUCACAUGCAGACAAAUGUGUGCACCUCACAUGGGAGGUCAUCAGUGGGGGUCAGGUGAAUACGGUCAUGAAAUAACCUCAAUGUGGGUGCUCACUGCUCCCUUCCAGGUCCUGGAUUUUGUGAUGUGGGGAGCGUGAGCUGUCAAGCAUUCUGUAUUAACUGGAGUCUGAUGCUGACUGCACAGCUGUCCCCUGUCCCACAGACACCCCACCUGCUUGAGAGAUCUGCACCUCCUGCCAGUUCAAUCCCCACACACAGGCUCUAAGAUCAGGCACCCCUGGACACCAAACCUGGAUUCACUAUUUGCCACUUUAAUCCUUACAAUGGCAAUGACAGCAUGGAUUUCGUAAAUUAUUAUAAGAGGACAUCACAAAGAGCCUAAUGAGGUUAUCAUGAAAAUAUCCUCACUGCAUUGCUGAGAAUAGUGAAAACUGAGAAGCGACUUACAUGUCCAAAGAAGUGUGGCUAGUUAUGACAUAUCUGUGUACUCAAGAUGAUACAGACAGAAUUUGGUGAAG